AGAGACAGGGAGGACGUCAGGGAGGGACCAUCAACAGCCUUUGUCUCUCACAGUCUGUUUCUUAGCGAGAAGAGAGACGGCUGGUCUUUAAUGCUGAGGAUCCCGGAGAAGAAAAUACCGAAUGUCGUCCCGACAGUGGGGCCCCAUUUACCUGCGUCUGCUGUCUGGAGGGGUGCUCCAGAUGUACUAUGAGAAAGGACUGGAGAAGCCCUUCAAAGAGUUCCAGCUGCAGCCUCACUGCAGGUUUUCAGAUCUCAAGCUGGAGAGCAACGGAGAGCCUCGCAAGAUCCAGACAGUGAAGGUGGAGGACGUGUCUUACACAGAGAAGAAGCGCUACCACCACAAGCUGGAGGUGUCCCACAAGGCUGAGGUGGAGCAGCUGCUGAAAUUUGGAACCACGGAAUACGGCGACAUGGAGGAUCUGUUAGAGACCAUGGAGGAGGAGAUUCUUAGGCUGACUCCGCCCCUGUCGCAAAAACGGCACUACGAGGAACAGGAGAUGACACUGCAGAUCCCAGACCACCUCUGGGUGCAGCUGGACAAGGACGGUGUGAUAAUGGAUCGGGCAGCCAUGACGAGGAUCCACUGCCUGGCUUUCCUCAACGGACCAGGGGAGUGUUUCCUGGCUCUCAACGACCUAGGGCUCCUCCGCUUCGACGCCAGCUUCGGCUCUGAGGAGGGCUGGAUGGAGAUCAGUGACUGCCACUUCCACAAGUGCAUCAAUGACUUGGAGUUCCACAGGUCCCGGCUGCUCAAGUUCUCCCCUCCGGACGCCUGUAGAGUAGAACUGAUGCGCUACAAGACGUUAGCCCUGGGAUGUACUAACCUACCGUUCUCCGUCAAAGCCGUGGUGACUGUCCAAGGGGCCUAUGUGGAACUCCAAGCCUUUCUCAACAUAUCAGCCGCCUUCCCGUCAUUUACUGGAGUGUCGGAGACUGAGCCGCUCUACGAGAACGUUCUGAUCCGUGUGCCGGUACCGGCGGACUGGGUGAAGGUGUCACGCACUGUGACGUUGCUAAGACGGAAGUCCCUGCCGGCCAGGAUCAACCGGAACGCGUGUCUGGGGACAGUCAGUGUUGUUGAGUCACAGCCGGUCAUGCAAGUUACCGUGGGGACAGUCAAGUAUGAGAAUGUGUACUUGGCCAUGGUGUGGAGGAUCGACAGACUGCAUGCUAAGAACAUGGGUAAGGAUUAAGAGGAAUAAAAAUCCCAUACCUUCUCCUGUAAAUUAGAGCUUGGUUCAGAUCAGGAGAUCCCCACUGACUGGUAUCCGUUUGUCACGAUGGAGUGUGAGAUGGUAGGGGCUGUGGUCUCACAGACCAGAGUGACGUCACUGGGCACAGACAGUGACGUUCAGCCUCAGAAACAUGUCACCGGUAGGACCCACUAUCAUUGUCAGCCGAAGCUCUACCUGUCCAUCAUAGAUGAUGUGAUUGAGAGCAUGCGGGAGGUGUUUCUGGAUGAAGGACUGGAGGACCGUGUCCUUGAUGACCUGAGACAGCUCUGGGAGUCAAAGAUUAUGCAGUCCAAAGCAGUGGAUGGCUUGGCCCUCAUGAAGAACACCAUCAACUCAUCCAACUUUGUGCUGCAGCUCCCUCCAAACUAUGGACAGACUUUUACAAAACCUGCAGCCUCUAUGGUGAUCCCUGCAGGUCAACACGUCCAGAGUUUCACUGCUAAGAACAACGGUGGGACUCUGGCCACCUUCUCUCUUCCUCCCGGGAUGACCUACCCAGUCCAGAUCCCUGCAGGGGUCACACUGCAGACGGCCUCUGGCCAGCUUUAUAAGGUCAAUGUCCCAGUGAUGGUGACCCAGACUCCAGCCGGUCAUCACCAUCUCUCUCAGGCCCAACCCAGGCAAGGGGUACCUGUAGUGGAGUGGAGAGAUCCCAGCUCAGCUUCCCAGCAGUCAGCCACAGUGGUCCCUUCUACUGUCCUAAAGACCAUGGCCCUUCCGAAGACUGAACCUUUUCCCCCACAGCCUGUGGCUCCUCCCAGAGCGGAUCCUCAGACCACAGAGCAGAGGAGCCUGAUUCCUCCGGUCCAGCCACCUAAUGAGAAGCCUUUGCUACCCCAACCUGUGGUCCAGCCCCCAGUUCAGGAGAAUAAUCUUGUUCAGCAGCCACAGGUUCCUUCAGCUCAGGCAACCUUUUCUAGUCAGACUCCAGUGUCCUUCCAGCCCCCAGCCCAACCUCCAUCUCACCCCCCUGAGAGCCCCUUCGACAGUGGUGAUUUCACUCUGGAUGGGAUUGAUUUUGACAGUCCACAGCCACUAGACAUGAGCCUGUCCUCCGGCUCCGCCCACAUGCCAAGCCUUCAGGUCAAGAUGGAGACGACCCUGUCUGAAGGGUCAGGGUUUAUGGGUCAGGGGUCAGAGUUUGAGGCCAGCGAGAUGGUGAAACAGGAGGAUCAUGGAGGAGCGGUGGCUGAUAUGACAACCCACCUGGAGGGUCUACCUGUGGAUGCUACCAAGCUGGAGAUGGCCCUGUUGAAAGACUACAACUACAAUGAUGCUCUGGCAGACAUCAUCCAGCUGGACGGGCCUGCAGACAGCAGCUCUGAGGAGGUGGAGGAGUUGGAAGGAGGUGCGAUGGGAGAAAAUGAGUUCCUAGGAAUGAUGACUGUGGAGGCUCUCCAGGCCCUACAGGAGGUAGAUGGCAGCAGUGAUGAUGGCAUCUCCAGCUCCAGUGGUGACAGUGUGGGGAUGGAUGAAAUCACAGUGGAAGAGGAUCCUUUAAACUCUGGGGAUGACGUGAGUGAGCAGGACAUUCCUGAUCUCUUUGACACUGACAAUGUGAUAGUGUGUCAGUAUGAUAAGAUUCACCGCAGUAAGAACCGGUGGAAGUUCUAUCUGAAGGAUGGGGUGAUGUGUUAUGGAGGAAAGGACUAUGUCUUCUCUAAGGCUGUCGGCGAGGCAGAGUGGUGACUGGGUUUUUGUUAUGUUCCAAUGUCCAUACGAGAAUAGUUCAGAGGCGAAGAGGGGUUUUUGUACAAUACCUCUUGGGAUGCAAUGGUAGUACAUUCUAAGUAGAAUGCUAGUGUGAAUAUUGGAACAGAACCUUGGUCUGUAUUUCACCCAUGUGGAUACAGCCUUGACUUAGUCUUAAAUGUAUCCAACGAGGCGCAUAAAACAUGAAUAUAUUGAGAGAAUAAUAUCAUUUGAAGUUAAUGGGGAAAACCACAGUUGUUCAGUGAGCUAGAACAUACAAUCUAUGCAGGCUUCUAAUCUGAAGAAAAAUGUCUGGACGAGUAAAGAGUCCGUCCCACACGGCAACCUGUUCCCUAUAUAGUGCACUACUUUUCACCAGCCACCACAGUGCACAAAGGGCUUUUUGAGUUGUUAAUUUUGUUUAUGUAACUAUUUAUUUAUAUUUUUGUAUUUGUUGUGUAAUGCCAUUAAAGGAGCACUGAGCACUAAGUU